rnacentral:tRNA from 1 species
GCCGAGGUGUCGGAACUGGCAUACGAUCCGGUCUCAAAAACCGGUGGCCGUAAGGCCAUGAGGGUUCGAUUCCCUCCCUCGGCACCA